rnacentral:rRNA from 1 species
UACGGAGGAUCCAAGCGUUAUCCGGAUUUAUUGGGUUUAAAGGGUGCGUAGGCGGCCUAUUAAGUCAGGGGUGAAAGACGGUAGCUUAACUAUCGCAGUGCCUUUGAUACUGAUAGGCUUGAAUGUACUUGAGGUAGGCGGAAUGUGACAAGUAGCGGUGAAAUGCAUAGAUAUGUCACAGAAUACAAUUGCGAAGGCAGCUUACUAAAGUAUGAUUGACGCUGAGGCACGAAAGCGUGGGGAUCAAACAGG